UAGCUCAGUUGGUAGAGUGCUUGCCUUGAAUGCAAAAGGUCCUAGGUUCAAUCCCUAG
rnacentral:tRNA from 1 species